UACGUAGGGGGCAAGCGUUGUCCGGAAUCAUUGGGCGUAAAGAGCGUGUAGGCGGCUCGGUAAGCCCGCUGUGAAAGUCCAGGGCUCAACCCUGGAAUGCCGGUGGAAACUGUCGAGCUAGAGUCCGGAAGAGGCGAGUGGAAUUCCUGGUGUAGCGGUGAAAUACGCAGAUAUCAGGAGGAACACCAAUGGCGAAGGCAGCUCGCUGGGACGGUACUGACGCUGAGACGCGAAAGCGUGGGGAUCAAACAGG
rnacentral:rRNA from 1 species